GGCUAAACCAUGCACCGAAGCUGCGGCAGCGACACUGUGUGUUGUUGGGUAGGGGAGCGUUCUGUAAGCCUGUGAAGGUGGCCUGUGAGGGUUGCUGGAGGUAUCAGAAGUGCGAAUGCUGACAUAAGUAACGAUAAAGCGGGUGAAAAGCCCGCUCGCCGGAAGACCAAGGGUUCCUGUCCAACGUUAAUCGGGGCAGGGUGAGUCGACCCCUAAGGCGAGGCCGAAAGGCGUAGUCGAUGGGAAACGGGUUAAUAUUCCCGUACUUGGUGUUACUGCGAAGGGGGGACGGAGAAGGCUAUGUUGGCCGGGCGACGGUUGUCCCGGUUUAAGCGUGUAGGCUGGUUUUCCAGGCAAAUCCGGAAAAUCAAGGCUGAGGCGUGACGACGAGGCACUACGGUGCUGAAGCAACAAAUGCCCUGCUUCCAGGAAAAGCCUCUAAGCAUCAGGUAACACGAAAUCGUACCCCAAACCGACACAGGUGGUCAGGUAGAGAAUACCAAGGCGCUUGAGAGAACUCGGGUGAAGGAACUAGGCAAAAUGGUGCCGUAACUUCGGGAGAAGGCACGCUGACACGUAGGUGAAGUGAUUUACUCAUGGAGCUGAAGUCAGUCGAAGAUACCAGCUGGCUGCAACUGUUUAUUAAAAACACAGCACUGUGCAAACACGAAAGUGGACGUAUACGGUGUGACGCCUGCCCGGUGCCGGAAGGUUAAUUGAUGGGGUCAGCGCAAGCGAAGCUCCUGAUCGAAGCCCCGGUAAACGGCGGCCGUAACUAUAACGGUCCUAAGGUAGCGAAAUUCCUUGUCGGGUAAGUUCCGACCUGCACGAAUGGCGUAAUGAUGGCCAGGCUGUCUCCACCCGAGACUCAGUGAAAUUGAACUCGCUGUGAAGAUGCAGUGUACCCGCGGCAAGACGGAAAGACCCCGUGAACCUUUACUAUAGCUUGACACUGAACAUUGAGCCUUGAUGUGUAGGAUAGGUGGGAGGCUUUGAAGUGUGGACGCCAGUCUGCAUGGAGCCGACCUUGAAAUACCACCCUUUAAUGUUUGAUGUUCUAACGUGGACCCGUAAUCCGGGUUGCGGACAGUGUCUGGUGGGUAGUUUGACUGGGGCGGUCUCCUCCUAAAGAGUAACGGAGGAGCACGAAGGUUGGCUAAUCCUGGUCGGACAUCAGGAGGUUAGUGCAAUGGCAUAAGCCAGCUUGACUGCGAGCGUGACGGCGCGAGCAGGUGCGAAAGCAGGUCAUAGUGAUCCGGUGGUUCUGAAUGGAAGGGCCAUCGCUCAACGGAUAAAAGGUACUCCGGGGAUAACAGGCUGAUACCGCCCAAGAGUUCAUAUCGACGGCGGUGUUUGGCACCUCGAUGUCGGCUCAUCACAUCCUGGGGCUGAAGUAGGUCCCAAGGGUAUGGCUGUUCGCCAUUUAAAGUGGUACGCGAGCUGGGUUUAGAACGUCGUGAGACAGUUCGGUCCCUAUCUGCCGUGGGCGCUGGAGAACUGAGGGGGGCUGCUCCUAGUACGAGAGGACCGGAGUGGACGCAUCACUGGUGUUCGGGUUGUCAUGCCAAUGGCACUGCCCGGUAGCUAAAUGCGGAAGAGAUAAGUGCUGAAAGCAUCUAAGCACGAAACUUGCCCCGAGAUGAGUUCUCCCUGAGACUUAGAGUCUCCUGAAGGAACGUUGAAGACGACGACGUUGAUAGGCCGGGUGUGUAAGCGCAGCGAUGCGUUGAGCUAACCGGUACUAAUGAACCGUGAGGCUUAACCUUACAACGCCAAAG
rnacentral:rRNA from 1 species